rnacentral:lncRNA from 10 species
CUUGCAGUCCCUCCAAGCACUGACGCAAUUUAAUUAUCCCCAGAUAGCUGGAAAGAGGCAAAUUGCACGCUCCAUUCCCCGCUUCCCCUAGUACACCUCAGGGCAGCACAAGGCCUGGCGCCCAAGCAAUGCCUUUUCCUCUUUCUGAAUUUUCUACAGUCUUUGCUAGCUCAGAAACUUCUCAUUUUAACAGUUUCCUCACAGUCAGGUUCCAGAAAGCAUGCAUUUAUGAAACUUAUCAGCUCUGAAUCUUUAUUGUAUGUGUUUUCUCAUUAAAACAAAUCAAAAAUGCCUGUGCAGAUGAUGUCAAGGCUUUUAAAAUUCAAAACCAAAAUGUAGCCAUCAUCUGAAUUGUCUCAUGCGCAGGCUGCUGAGAUCCGAGAGCCUCGUUUGACAGACAACCUGGGACUCAGCAAAGUAGAGAACCUGGGAGACAGGAGAGAGCUGCUUCCAGCCUGGCUCCUGAGCCUGAUAAAAUUAGCCAAAAGAUGAUCUCCAUGGCAACAGGAAAUUUGUUUCUUAAAGAAGGUUAGAAAUAAUGCCUUUGGAAGAAACUCCGCGGCAGAUAGAAUAUUCUCAGAUUACACAUAAAUGGUGUCUAUGCCAACAAAAUGACGGGCCAGGCGGCUCAAUUAUCUGGAUAAUUUAGGUCUGAACCAGUGAUUUGUAAAAGAAUAGGAGGCUUUUAAGACCUGAAGAAUGGAAUGUGGCAGGCCUGGGCCCAGACUCAGGGGAAUGGGAAGGCCAACCCCUCCCAGGAGCGUUCUCUGCCAGUCUCAGGACUCGGAACCGGACUCGCACGCUCAGGGUGUGGGCCUCUGCCGGCUACUUUCCAAGAAGCAAUGAGACCUGCUUGGAAUUCUUAGUGGGAUUAUCUGGAAGUUGCUGGCAGAGGGGGUUGGGUGCUGGAGGAAGGAACAGGCAGAGAGAUCACGUGUCUCAGGGAGACAGCAUUGCAUGGCGCUGACGUUGCCGCCAGGCUGUGCGGAGUCGAAUUCUUCACCACAUGCUGGCUGUGUGGGCUUAAACUCUUCGUGUCUCAGUUCCUUGACAGUAAAGGAGUGGAAUUGAGCAGUGUGAAAAUGAACCAAUACAAGUCCCGGCCAUCAUCUGAUCUAUUCUGAGGGAUCGGGGUUACCUGAGGGAUUGGGAGAUUCCUGAUGCUUUCACCAAGAGACUUGUUUCCAUCACUGUAAGAUGGGGUUGAUGAUCCCCACCAGGAAACUGUAAGCCCUGAAUGAAACGAGUUCUGCUAAGAUUUUUGGAACCUGAGAAACACCAUACAAUGUAAGAUGCUUAUACAUCGUCUGGCCAAGAAUUCUUUUUUGACUUUAGUGCAACAAUAAAGGACUCCAGCCAGGCGUGGUGGCUCACACCUGUAAUCCCAGCACUUUGGGAGGCCAAGGCAGGCAGACCAUGAGGUCAAGAGUUCAAGACCAGCGUGGCCAACAUGGUGAAACCCCGUUUCUACUAAAAAUACAAAAAUGAGCCAGGCACAGUGGUGUGUACCUGUAAUCCCAGCUACUCAAGAGGCUAAGGCAGGAGAAUCACUUGAACCUGGGAAGCACAGGUUGCAGUGAGCCGAGAUCGCACCACUGCACUCUAGCCUGGGCAACAGAACGAGACACGGUCUCAAAAAAUAAAUAAAUAAAUAAAUAAAGGAAUCCUGAUUGAAAUAACAUUGGCUUCAAUUAACAAUGUAAUAGUAAAUACUGAGAUUUAAUUGUAGCAAGUAAUCUUUUCCAAAGAUGAGCACAUCAAUGUAUUUCAUAUCCCAUCUGGUAAACUCUCCUUAUACUGGGGUGGAUAGUAGGCCUCCAUUGAGACAUGGGAUUCAUGCUCCCUCUCCUUGAACCUGGGUGGAACUAUCUAACUCCCUCCAGCAAUGAAAUCUGGCAAAAAUGAGUGAGUGACUUCCGUUUCCACCUGGGUCUGUUUACUGGGACCUGGAUAUUUGGAGCCCUGAGCUGCCACUGAAGGAGUCUGGCUACCCUAAAGCCACGGUGCUGGAGAGACCAUGUGGAGGGGCCACAUGGAAUCAAAGAAAAGUGCACAGGUGGCCCCAGCUACUAAUGCGCAA